GGAAAGUUGCAAAGCACUUUGAAAAGAGGGUGAAAAGAACCUGAAACCGUUACGUUGAAACCGCAUUGCAGCAGAGUGAAGGGCCGCGUUUUUGUUCAGCUUGGAGGGGAACCUCUAGGUGUACUCAAAUUCCAUGUGCCCGCCAGUCGUGAGCUUUUGGUGGCCGAUUUCUCGGCUGCUGGAGGCGGAGGGCUCCCCCUUUUAAUUAAGGGGUCUGAGGACGAUUCUGGAUAAUACUGCGAUUCGACCCGUCUUGAAACACGGACCAAGAAGUCUAGCGUGUCUGCGAGUCAAAGGGUGUGAAAACCUGUGGGCGCAGUGAAAGCGAACUUCCAUAUUAGAAAAAAAACGUUGCAGUUUGAGGCGGCAUACGAUCGUUGAUUGUAGGUCUGACCUUGAGCAGAUAUGCUAGGACCCGAAAGAUGGUGAACUAUGCUUGAGUAGGGUGAAGCCAGGAGAAAUCCUGGUGGAAGCUCGUAGCGGUGCUGACGUGCAAAUCGCUCGUCUAACUUGAGUAUAGGGGCGAAAGACUAAUCGAACCAUCUGGUAGCUGGUUUUCUCCGAAGUUUCUCUCAGGAUA
rnacentral:rRNA from 1 species